rnacentral:rRNA from 1 species
UACGAAAGGAGCAGGUGUUAUUCAGAUUAACUGGGCGUAAAGCGCACGUAGGCGGCUUUGUAAGUUAGAGGUGAAAGCCCGGGGCUCAACUCCGGAAUUGCCUUUAAGACUGCAUCGCUAGAACGUCGGAGAGGUAAGUGGAAUUCCGAGUGUAGAGGUGAAAUUCGUAGAUAUUCGGAAGAACACCAGUGGCGAAGGCGACUUACUGGACGACCGUUGACGCUGAGGUGCGAAAGCGUGGGGAGCAAACAGG